CAGCCGCCGCGGGAAUACGAAGGGGGCUAGCGUUGUUCGGAAUUACUGGGCGUAAAGCGCUCGUAGGCGGAUAUUUAAGUCAGGGGUGAAAUCCCAGAGCUCAACUCUGGAACUGCCUUUGAUACUGGGUAUCUUGAGUAUGGAAGAGGUGAGUGGAAUUCCGAGUGUAGAGGUGAAAUUCGUAGAUAUUCGGAGGAACACCAGUGGCGAAGGCGGCUCACUGGUCCAUUACUGACGCUGAGGUGCGAAAGCGUGGGGAGCAAACAGGAUUAGAUACCCGAGUAGUCCCUGUCUCUUAUAC
rnacentral:rRNA from 1 species